rnacentral:rRNA from 1 species
CGGACGGGUGAGUAACGCGUGGGUAACCUACCCUGUACACACGGAUAACAUACCGGAAGGUAUGCUAAUACGGGAUAAUAUAUUUGAGAGGCAUCUCUUGAAUAUCAGAGGUGAGCCAGUACAGGAUGGACCCGCGUCUGAUUAGCUAGUUGGUAAGGUAACGGCUUACCAAGGCGACGAUCAGUAGCCGACCUGAGAGGGUGAUCGGCCACAUUGGAACUGAGACACGGUCCAA